rnacentral:rRNA from 1 species
UACGUAGGGUGCAAGCGUUAAUCGGAAUUACUGGGCGUAAAGCGUGCGCAGGCGGUUCGCUAAGACCGAUGUGAAAUCCCCGGGCUUAACCUGGGAAUUGCAUUUGUGACUGCCCGGCUAGAGUGUGUCAGAGGAGGGUAGAAUUCCACGUGUAGCAGUGAAAUGCGUAGAUAUGUGGAGGAAUACCGAUGGCGAAGGCAGCCCCCUGGGAUAACACUGACGCUCAUGCACGAAAGCGUGGGGAGCAAACAGG